rnacentral:RNase_MRP_RNA from 1 species
AAGCACGGCUUCGCAGCGCACGCACGAGGAGCUCGCUCCUCCUCUCAAGCUGCGGGGAAAGUCCCCGUGCCCUUGGGCAGAGAGUGCCGGCGGGAGACCGCGAGGCCCCGGCCUGGCCGUUUGCGGCGAGGCCUCUUGGCGGAGCCAUGGCGGCGGGCUGGGGCCGCUUGCAGCAGCACAGCCAUGCCGUGAGCGCCCUCGAAGGAGGGCGCCAACAGAACGGGGCUCACUCUC